GCCCAGGUGGCGAAAGGGUAGACGCGGCGGACUUAAAAUCCGCUCCCCGAUAAGGGGGUGUGGGUUCGAAUCCCUCCCUGGGCA
rnacentral:tRNA from 1 species